rnacentral:tRNA from 1 species
GGAGAGGUGACAGAGUGGUCGAUUGUGCAUGCUUGGAAAGCAUGUGUACGGGAAACCGUACCGAGGGUUCGAAUCCCUCCCUCUCCGCCA